AACGAACGCUGGCGGCAGGCCUAACACAUGCAAGUCGAACGCUGUAGCAAUACAGAGUGGCAGACGGGUGCGUAACGCGUGGGAACAUACCCUUUGGUUCGGAAUAACUCAGGGAAACUUGAGCUAAUACCGGAUAAGCCCUUACGGGGAAAGAUUUAUCGCCAAUGGAUUGGCCCGCGUCUGAUUAGCUAGUUGGUGAGGUAAUGGCUCACCAAGGCGACGAUCAGUAGCUGGUCUGAGAGGAUGACCAGCCACACUGGGACUGAGACACGGCCCAGACUCCUACGGGAGGCAGCAGUGGGGAAUAUUGGACAAUGGGCGAAAGCCUGAUCCAGCCAUGCCGCGUGAGUGAUGAAGGCCUUAGGGUUGUAAAGCUCUUUUACUCGGGAAGAUAAUGACUGUACCGAGAGAAUAAGCCCCGGCUAACUUCGUGCCAGCCGCCGCCGU
rnacentral:rRNA from 1 species